AAGACAGCCUGAGCAGAAGCUGUGAGAGUAGACAGACACCAGGGAGAGGGACUGCUAACGAUGGUGUUAUUUUAAAACUAGCCUUGUGUGGCAUGUUUUAAAAUUUUCAUUCUCACACCUUCCAAGACCUUCAUCGCAUUGUGAAAAUUUUUGAAUUUAUAUUUUGUUUAUGUUUUGGUGUAGAACUGUGUGUGCUAAAGGACACAGAUUCUACUACUGGAAGUUCAAGGUUCUUAUUUCAGGAGGACAUUGUUAAUGUAGGAAUGUUAACUGGGUCAUGCUCACCAGUAGGUGGGGACAUUGCACUUUAGGAAUGCAAGGGAGUUGUUGCUUUCUCUCUUCUCCUUGCCUUGGCAGGUCUGGACUUGAGAGGCCAGUAUUCCCUGAGGGGGGUAACUCAGGCACUCUUAUUUCCUGAACUCAUCCUUCCAUGUGUUCAGGAUGUGAUGCAAUCUGAGGUGCAGUUUUGGAUGUUUGAGAAGCAGAGAAGCACCGCUGGAGCAGGAGUUAAAGUCUGCUUUUGUUUGAGAACUGAGGAGCUCAGUAUUCUACAUACUCUCGCAGUUUUCCAUGGCUGUGGGACAAUGAACUUCAUGUAUUACCCCAGACAAUGACAUCGAUUCAGCAGGACUGCCACCAAGAUUCCAGAACUGUAGAGCUACCAACAUCCAAAGAGCUUGGAAAAGACAGGAUGCCUGACUCUAAUCCAGAAGAACAGCCACUUGUGGAGUGCAACCAGCAAAGCCAUGUGGGCAGGGCUGCCUGAGGACUUGAGGGCCCAACUCCUGCCACAGUGUGCUCAGGAUGAGGGACACAGGCUCGGAAGAGAUUAUUUCCAGCUUUAAAACGGAGUGUCUUCCCUGUUGGGUUUUGGACUUCCUUGAGGCCUGUUACUCCUUUCUUCUGGUCUAAUUCUCCUGUCUCAGCAUUGUAUCUUAGCGGUAGAUAACUGGUUUUAAUUUCACAGGCUCACAGAUAGGGAUUAUUUUGGAUUUCUGAGUUGAUACCAGAACAAGUUAAGACCUUAGGGAUCUGGGGAUGGAAUGAACGUAUUUGCAUGUAAGAAAAAUACGAGUUUUGUUGGUGAGGGCAGGGGUGAAAUGCUAUGGCCUAAAUGUUUAUUCCCUCUAAAACUCAUGCUGAAACUCAAUCCCCACUGUAACGGUAUUAACAGAGUGGAAAAUCAGACUAUGAUAUUUCAGGGGUGGAACCUUUUGCAAGGCAAUCAUUUGUAAGGAUCUAUUAAAGUAACUCCCCUUCAUUUUUA